rnacentral:lncRNA from 1 species
AUGGUGUCUCUUUCUUUCUUUCUUUCUUUCUUUCUUUCUUUCUUUCUUUCUUUCUUUCUUUCUUUCUUUCAGCCAGCCUCAUCUGCUCACGUUCCAGUGUGGCCUACCAGGGGGUUUAUCUUCUCGCCCCUUUCCGAGCAACAGCUGCAGAAAGAGGCCGCCGAGGCCCUGAUGGUGCUGAGAAACGCCUCACAGCCUGGCCCCAUUCUGACAACCCCAAGUCUUCUGCCCCCCACAAGUUCCGCCCCUGCUCUGAUGGCCUCACCAGCCUUUUCCCACCCCCCAGAGACAAUCCACAAUCCUGGGGCGCCCACCGCCUUCCAGCAGCCUCCCUCCUACUUCAUGCCUCCCUACGGCAUUCAACCUGGAAAGGCUUCCAGGGACAGAGCUUUAAAGGGUACCCAGAUCCCCCCCGAGCCAGUCAACGCUCACGGAGACCAGGCCUCACAACCCCUUUUGCUUCCUUUACUCCAUGGAAACGCUGCCCCCCAGCAAUACAAAAACAUCCACCUUUUCUCGCUCGCACCGUCUCGAGCGCCCCAGCUGGCCCCUUCCGUGAAGGUCUCCAGCAUCCAAGCUGUCAGGCCCAGCCUUAGAGUGGCCCCUAGUGUUAGCCACCCCCCAAACCUGGCAGCCUAUCAUACAUCCUCNGGGUCCGUGCCCCAUGCCAUCUGCGUGCCCCAAACGAUAGACCCCGGUUGGAUUCCAGAGGCUCCACCCAUCUCCGCUCACGGUGGCCCUCAGCUGCUGCCCUUCUGUGUCCCUCCAGUGGACAUAUCUGUCACCCCGGUGCCAUUGCAAACUGGCAUCCCGUGCAGCCCAUUUGGGAUGGAAGUACAUAUGCUGCCCAGGCUCUCCCUGCUGAAUCCUUCUCCCUAUAUUAUAGCCCAGCAGGCUUUCCCAGGCCCGCUGUUUCCCCCAGAGCAGAAAUCGCAGGUGUGCCGUCAGCUGCACGCCCAAGACAGAAAGAAUUCCUCUAAGAGUCAAGAAAGAGAAGAGCACGCAGACAAGGUCACCNGGAGCAAAGACCCAAAAGAGCCUACAGAAGCAGCACCUGACUUCCUUCCAUCUAAACAACCUUGCAGCCAGUCUGUUCCCCAAGCCUCCCCAAGCCAACAGCAGCCAAAUCACCAGACCAACUCUUCCCCCUCUGUUUCCCUAAGCAGUGCACAGAUGGACUCGCUCUCUCUCCCCAGCUAGGGUGGGAGGUGAGGGGGAAAGCUGCUUGCAUCUCCGUUUCGCAUAUGGAAACACUCUCCAGCCAACAAGUCUUUAAGGACCGGUGGCCCUUUUUAAAAUUCUGACCUAGCUGAGUUUCUGCAGAUGGUUAGAACAUCAAACAGCCAAGAUUACUUAAAACAUUCCGUUCGUGUUUAACUAGUUCAGUGCCAGAUGAGUGGCAGAGUUUAUAAAAGAAAUUUGAGCCAAUGUUCUAUUUUUAACAGUAUGUUGGAUUCUGUUUCUAACCAAUUGCUUUGGCAGUUAAUGUUUCUUCUUGGAGAAAUUGAAUCUUAUCAUUUAUUUCUCCCAUUUUAAAAUAAAGCACAACAGUUUUUUUAAUAAAGAAGUGAU